CAAGUAGUUCUCCUGCCUUGGCCUCCUAAAGCGCUGGGAUGACAGGCAUGAGCCACUGUACCCAGCCAAUUUCACUUUAAGGGGUCCCAUGCUGCUAUAUGAGAGGCAGCCAACAUACCUGGCCUACCUGGCCUUCCUGGCCUGUCUCUUCACCUUUGAAAAUGACUUUCCAGGCUAGCCUGUAGACUACAGAUGAUUUCUCCAGGUGAACCUAUUAAUUGCAGAAGAGAUUCCAGAAAACCAAAAAAAAAAAAAAAAAAAAAAAGAUUAAAAAGUGAAACUGGUUGGCUGACACCUUGGAGCAGAGACUCUUAUCAUUUACCUCUUUUUAGUUGGACUGGAAAGUACAGGCCCUGCCCACAGCAGAAGCUCAUCGAUGUUUUUUGAUGAUCAGUGAGUGUCUUUUACCAAUUACAGGAUUCCUGAGACAGGCUAUAAGAUGAAUGAACCUUGAGGACACUGUGGUUCUGAGGGUGAGGAUCAAGAGCCAGCCCAUGAACCCCUGAUUCGGCGCGUGAAGCUUGUACUCUGGCAGAACGUCCAGCCUGGCAUCUGAGGCAGCACUUAUCUGGAGCCUCUUGUAUGAGGAGGAUCUCAAAAGAACCAGGGGGGAGCCCUGGGAGAGGAACCUGGGGCCAGCCGUGGACACAGACAUGGAUUCGAGAUGGUGUCAGGCCAGCCUGAGAAAUAGCAGGAAACCUGGCAUGGUGUAGGGUGGGGCUCUAGGUGCCUGAUGAAAGUGGGAUGGAGGGAGUGCAUCGUGGUGACUGCAGAGUCCUCAAAGCCACUAUUACCCUCACCUCCACCUCCUGUCAGCUUGUGACCUUGAUGAGGAAACUUAGACUCAGAGUACUUGUGGAAUGUACCCAAGGUCACACCGUAGCACAGAGAAAUGGAUGUUUCUCGACAGCCCAGUCUAGUCAUAUGGCAAAAGAAACGAAAAAACAGAACCCAAGUCCAAUUCUGGAGGCUGGGAAGUCCAUGAUUAAGUGCUGGCGGAUUCAGUGUCUGGUGAGGGCUGCUUCCUGGUUCAUAGACGUGCCUUCUUGCUGAGAUCUCAGAUGGUGGGCGGGGCUUGGCAGCUCUGGAGCCUCUUACAAGGGCACUAAUCCCAUUCAUAAAGGCAUCAUCCUCAUGACCUGAUCACCUCUCAAAAAUCCCACCUCCUAACACUAUCACCUCUGAGGUUAUGGAUUUUGUUGGAGACAGAAACAUUCAGACCAUAGUGGUACUCGAUAAAAUGUUUAUUAAUAUGUAUUAAUUCUGGGAGUCAAGCAAACCUAAUGAAUUGAUCACUGGGAUUUUGGCACCACAAUCAGAUAAACCAUCUAAAAAUAUGUUGCAUAUUCUGCGGUUAUUCCAUGACUCAAAGUUAUGUAUUAAAAUAAACCACUGUCAACUUUAGGAGACUGAGGCGGGUGGAUCACCUGAGG